UCAAAUGAACAAAAUCCAGCCAAACCGGGCGUCCGUUUGGGGUCGUGCUGUGGAGUUGGCCUUACCCAUGGCGCUCGCGUUGGAUCCCCAUCAACCAUCCCCGUGCAGCAAAACUAGUCUCUAUGCGCGCUGUUGUUCUGCUCCGGGCCCUCCUUCCGCCGACGGCCUCGGACGCGCUGCUCUAUUCUGAUCCUUCCUCACGAUGGCGUCCUCGGAUGCACUAGAUGCAGCCGUUGCCGUCGGGGCCCCGAUUCCAGUCGGACGCUCUGCUCCGGGCCUUUCACGCCGGAGGCUCCGGACGCGCCUGAUGCGGCCAUCCCGCGCAACUUAGGAAGCCUAUGCUCAGGCGUUGCCCUGCUACGGCCCCUCCUCGCACAGACAACCACGAACAAUCUGGGGCAAAAGAAGUCGGCAGCGGCGGCAAGCAAUCCUAUCAGGCCGCGUCAAAACAAGUUGAAGCCUCCUUCAUCGAUGCUCAUCUCUGUCCAGUAGCACAUGUGCUAGAUGGGAUAAAUUGGAGACCUGGCUGCCACCACCGCACCUACAGGACGCCUGCUUGGGAAUCUUAAAAACUCUAUGGUACAUCUUCCUCAACGUAAGUUCAAGCCUCUACCAUGGCUCAUCCCCUUCUCCUUCAGGCACCAGGUGUGUUGGGCGGACAAAACUGGAGCCUUCGCCGCUGCUACGGCGCCACCAUGCGGCCUCCUGAUCCGUAGAUCCGAAUCACUCUACAGAUACACCUUCAUCUUUAUUAGCUGUUCAACCAUGUUGCAUAAUUUGGGAUUCUUAUUAAUCCCCAAUCCGUUGACUCUUGCCACCUACCCAUUCAAUUUAUUGAUGUACCAGAUUCAUGGUGUUUGGAUUUAAUUGGAAGAAGUGAUAUGUGUCUUUCAAUCUGCAACCAAUUGGAUACGACAAUGAAGAACACUUGAUUUUUUUGUUGCAA